AUGAACGCUGGCGGCGUGCCUCAUACGUGCAAGUCGAGCGAACAGACGAGGAGCUUGCUCCUCUGACGUUAGCGGCGGACGGGUGAGUAACACGUGGAUAACCUACCUAUAAGACUGGGAUAACUUCGGGAAACCGGAGCUAAUACCGGAUAAUAUAUUGAACCGCAUGGUUCAAUAGUGAAAGACGGUUUUGCUGUCACUUAUAGAUGGAUCCGCGCCGCAUUAGCUAGUUGGUAAGGUAACGGCUUACCAAGGCGACGAUGCGUAGCCGACCUGAGAGGGUGAUCGGCCACACUGGAACUGAGACACGGUCCAGACUCCUACGGGAGGCAGCAGUAGGGAAUCUUCCGCAAUGGGCGAAAGCCUGACGGAGCAACGCCGCGUGAGUGAUGAAGGUCUUCGGAUCGUAAAACUCUGUUAUUAGGGAAGAACAAAUGUGUAAGUAACUAUGCACGUCUUGACGGUACCUAAUCAGAAAGCCACGGCUAACUACGUG
rnacentral:rRNA from 1 species